GAUGAACGCUGGCGGCGUGCCUAAUACAUGCAAGUCGAACGCUGGAGCUCUAGCUUGCUAGAUCGGAGGAGUGGCGAACGGGUGAGUAAUACAUAAGCAACCUGCCCACGACGCCUGGGAUAAUCCCGGGAACGGGGGACUAAUCCCGGUACGAUAAUCGUACGCAUUCUCCUUGUCAUUAAAGGUUAUAGGCACUGGAUGAUGGCGUGAUGGCGCAUUAGUUAGUUGGGGAGGUAACUGACCACCAAGACGAUGCUGCGUAGCCGGCCUGAGAGGGUCGACGGCGAGAGUGGGACUGGGACACGGGCCAGACUGAUACGGGAGGCAGCCGUAGGGAAGGCUCGGGUAGGGAGGAAACCCCGACCGGGCAACGCCGCGUGCGGGAAGACCGCGUGCGGGAUGAAGAGCUUUGGGGUAAGGGAAGAUCGGUAGAGAGAGGAUAUCUAAGUGACGGUACCUGAACAGAAAGCAACGGCUAACUACGUG
rnacentral:rRNA from 1 species